rnacentral:rRNA from 1 species
GGAAACGGGUGGUAAUGCCGGAUGCUCCAGUUGAUCGCAUGGUCUUCUGGGAAAGCUUUCGCGGUAUGGGAUGGGGUCGCGUCCUAUCAGCUUGACGGCGGGGUAACGGCCCACCGUGGCUUCGACGGGUAGCCGGCCUGAGAGGGCGACCGGCCACAUUGGGACUGAGAUACGGCCCAGACUCCUACGGGAGGCAGCAGUGGGGAAUAUUGCACAAUGGGCGCAAGCCUGAUGCAGCGACGCCGCGUGAGGGAUGGAGGCCUUCGGGUUGUAAACCUCUUUUAUCGGGGAGCAAGCGAGAGUGAGUUUACCCGUUGAAUAAGCACCGGCUAACUACGUGCCAGCAGCCGCGGUAAUACGUAGGGUGCAAGCGUUAUCCGGAAUUAUUGGGCGUAAAGGGCUCGUAGGCGGUUCGUCGCGUCCGGUGUGAAAGUCCAUCGCUUAACGGUGGAUCCGCGCCGGGUACGGGCGGGCUUGAGUGCGGUAGGGGAGACUGGAAUUCCCGGUGUAACGGUGGAAUGUGUAGAUA